rnacentral:lncRNA from 1 species
CAGGCCCUUAGUGACCUCCACAUGUCCUUCUGUUCAGUGACAUUGGCAGGCAGAAUUACAUCAAACAAGGACUCCAUCAGUGGAGGCUGCUGAGGGGAGGACAGCUCAUAAAUAUGGCUGGAAUGGAGUCAACGGAACGGUAACAAACACAUAGAAACCAUGUCUUUGAUGUGGUUGGUGCCAUUCCAUUGAUUCCAUUCCAGACAUUACUAUGAGCCGUCCUCCCCUCAGCAGCCUCCACUGGACUCCAUGGGUGAUGUUGGAAAUCCUUGUGUUUCACGGUGAUGCUGUCAGUAGUAUUGGUACAGGAGUGUAAUCCUGUCCUGUAAUCCUCCACAAAGACAGGCUGGGAGGUUGUAAUAAACCACACACACUUACUGCAUGAAGGCUUCAAAGGAAGACAAAAUAUUUAAAGUAUUUCAUGAGAAAAACACUCCAUCAAACUAAGGAUUUUUAUUUAGUGUUCACAACUAUUUCACCCAUCAUAGCAAGAGCUCUGUGAUGCACACACACACCAAACCUCUUCGUAAGCUCACACACUCGCGUCACAUCACACGAACUCCACUCCCCUUAAACUGUGAUGAUGUUGUGUGACCACUAGGUGUCACCAAAGCACAGUAAGACAGUGAUAGGGAGGCUAAGGCGUUAUACUCCAUCAAACCUCUCAAAUCUAAAAAGAAAACAUUUACUCUCCUAACUUUAUUACAUCACUGAAAAAGGGAUGAAUCUGUCCGGAACUCUACAGCCUUGGCCCGAUUAUCAAUACAGAAAUAUUGCUCUGGUUUUCAAAAUAAGGUUACCUGACUGAGUCUGCUGCCGUAUCAAACCUGUACACUGCCUAUAUACAGACUGACAGAUCAUCUAUGUACAUGCUACAUACUCUCACACUCUGAGUAGAAGUUGCCCUUAGGUACAGAUCUAGGAUCAGCUUAUGCUCUCCAAAUCCUGACUUUAACCAUUAGGGGGGAAAGACAUAACAUAGUACUGACCCUAGAUCAGAGUAUAGGGACAACUUCAUCCUGCUCACACUCUCCCACUCACAGACUCACUGACCUGUACACAACCUGACCACUUGUAUACGAAACAGUCGUGUUUGGACCCUCUGUGCGGAAUUCAAUCUAAGUUAAAUUCCAGCCUCAGUGUGUUUUGGUCCAGUGGUCUUAGUUCAUCUGGUGCCUUCACAACACAGCAGACAACAGAGAGUAAAUGCUCUAAAACUGGGGUUAAAACUAACUAAAAAGUAGCCGAUAGGUUGCAAGAGGGUAGUCAAUGAGGUCACUUCCAAUGUUCUCCCAAUCACUGAUCAGUAAACACUAUGUGACUCCGCCCUUUCCUGUCGGCUCAAAUUGCAGCCAUUUCACAAACGUGACACGUCCAUAUAUCCCAUGAUAUAUCCAUACAAACAUGAGACGUCCAUAUAUCCCAUGAUAUAUCCAUACAAACAUGCUUUAGCUUCUAAAGGGGGGAGUGAAGUAAAGGGAAUGGUUAGGUAUUAUUAUUCGGAGGUUUCUCUUUAAACAGCACUUUAACCCACCCCCAGACUAACUAGAGGAGGGAGACAGAUACAUGAUUGAUCUGUUGACUGAUUGAUCAUGUAGAUGAUAAAGUCAUCCAUACAUCUUGUCUGAGCACAGAGCAUGUAGUGGGCCAUUUUCCAAGAGGCCCUCCUAGACAGGCUUGCCCUAUGUUAAACUCUACAAGGGGAACAUUUAGGCUACACUUCCUUUACCUUAUAACCUAGCUAACCUCAUGUUCCUGGCUUCUGGGGAACAAGACUACCUUACACCAAGAUCCACAAAACUACACUACCCAUAAGUCCUGAGCUUAAGGAAUGUGCAACACGUUCUCAGUCAAUCACCAGCAUUUCCCACGGGAACAUGGCCCGGUGACACAGAGAAUUGCAUUCUGGAAAUCAUUGCUUGUACCUUAUUACUAAAGAGUGAAAAGUAGGGUCAUAUAUACAGAUUAGAAACAAAACAAAACUAUAUUGUGUGUGUGUGUGUGUGUGUGUGUGUGUGUGUGUGUAAGGCUGUGUGUGUGUGUGUAUAAAGAGUGUGUGUGUGUGUGUGCGUGUGUGUGUGUGUAUAAGGGUGUGUGUGUGUGUGUGUGUAUAUAAGGGUGUGUGUGUGGGAGGAGCGUUGUUGUGUUUUAGAUUCAGUAUCUAAGAGGUCAGAUCAGGUGCAACAAGAACAGCUCAAUGUUAAUGAACUAUAAAUGGAACAUAUCAACCAGGUUGUCAGGGGUUCAGGGGUUUCUUUACACUGUUUUAACCCCCCUCUGUCCUGUGAGGUGAUCUUCUGGCGUGAAGUGUACCUGGGCAUCAACAACCCUCCUGUAUAUUGCUCUGUUGUGUACAUCUCUAUAGCGUGUCAUAACAGUAUCACAUCACAUCAUAUUGAUAAUAAUCUAUUCAUAAUGCAUUGUCCUAUUCUUGUGUAUUAUGUAACUUAGUGUUUCCUAGUGUGCACUUCAGCAUAGUGGCCUAGUGAAGUGCCCAUUCCUGCCCUGAAGUGUUGACUUCUGUAGAUACUGUACACUUUGAGGAAGAUAACUUUAGUGUCGUUAGUGUAUGCUUGGUACCGUAUUGGUACCGUAACCUGCCUGAGUGACUGAUUGAUGAGGUAAUUGAAUUGGGGAUCAGGUGCCAGGUCUGGGCACUGUAAUGAACAAAUGUGUGUGUAUGUGUGUGUUGGGAGGGGGAGGGGGGGGCAUGCAAUGGAUUAAAUAGUCUGAUUCUCCAGGCUCAGUAUGUAAUCCAUUCCAUUCCAAAUAUGAUUUGGAAACAAUGGAUUAGCAUCCUAUAGACACUAUUCUAUGGCUCGUGUGUUUAUCUGCGCGUGCAUACGUGUGUGUGGGGUAGAGAAAUGGACACGUACAGCGGUAGGGUCGUUAGCUAGGGGUCAAUGUUUCAGCUAUUGGCUGGGGAUAGGGCUUGAGGUGUUGGUUAGGGUUAGGGUUAGGGCUUGAGGUGUUGGUUAGGGUUAGGGCUUGAGGUGUUGGUUAGGGUUAGGGGUUGAGCUGUUGGUUAAGGUUAGAGGUUGAGCUGUUGGUUAAGGUUAGGGCUUGAGGUGUUGGUUGGGGUUAGGGGUUAGGGCUUGAGGUGUUGGUUAGGGGUUAGGGCUUGAGGUGUUGGUUAAGGUUAGGGGUUGAGGUGUUGGUUAAGGUUAGGGUUUGAGGUGUUGGUUAGGGUUAGGACUUGAGGUGUUGGUUAAGGUUAAGGGUUGAGGUGUUGGUUAAGGUUAAAGGUUGAAGUGUUGGUUAAGGUUAGGGCUUGAGGUGUUGGUUGGGGUUAGGGGUUGAGGUGUUGGUUAAGGUUAGGGGUUGAGGUGUUGGUUAAGGUUAGGGGUUGAGGUGUUGGUUAAGGUUAGGGGUUGAGGUGUUGGUUGGGGUUAGGGCUUGAGGUGUUGGUUAAGGUUAGGGGUUGAGGUGUUGGUUAAGGUUAGGGGUUGAGGUGUUGGUUAAGGUUAGGGGUUGAGGUGUUGGUUGGGGUUAGGGGUUGAGGUGUUGGUUGGGGUUAGGGGUUGAGGUGUUGGUUAAGAUUAGAGGUUGAGUUGUUGGUUGGGAGUCAAGGUUAGGGCUUAUGGUUAGGGUGCAAUAUGAAAAAUGCAGAGUUCUACAGCUCAGUCUAGGGUUAGGGUCUAUCCUGGGGUGCAGAGGCUCGCGUUCCCCACCCCCCUCAUCCCUCCCUCCCUCACUUUCAACAUGCCAGUUCUCUAUCCUGGUGGUGCAGAGGCUCUCAUUCCCCACCCCCCUCAUCCCUCCCUCCCUCACUUUAAACAUGCCAGUUCUCUAGCCUGGGGAUGCAGAGGCUCUCAUUCCCCACCCCCUCAUCCCUCCCUCCCUCACUUUAAACAUGACCGUUCUCUAGCCUGGGGAUGCAGAGGCUCUCAUUCCCCACCCCCUCAUCCCUCCCUCCGUCACUUUAAACAUGACCGUUCUCUAGCCUGGGGAUGCAGAGGCUCUCAUUCCCCACCCCCUCAUACCCCCUCAUACCCCCCCACUCCCGUUAGAGCUCACUGAUACAGCAAAUCCUGUUCAAACCAUAUCCACUCAGCUGAGACCAAAGCGACCCUAAUCACUGCUGUACUCUGAGCAGUAGAAGAAGCAGCACGGAGGAUCGUUCCUCUCAUCCUCCUCUUCUUACAUAUUCACCUUCAUGUUCAAUUCCUCAAGUCUUCUCAUCCUCUGGCUUCAUUACGUUAAGUCCUUUGUUUUUCUCCAUUUCGUGUUCCUCGGUCUUGUGUUGUUGACUUGUUGUUUUUGUUUUGGGAAGUACUGUGUGUUUUCUCUGCUUUGGUGUGUGUGUGUGGCAGGGUGUGUGUUGGAUUCUUCGGGGUGAGUGUGUGUGGCAGGGUGUGUGUUGGAUUCUUCGGGGUGAGUGUGUGUGGCAGAGUGUGUGUUGGACUCCUUCGGGGUGUGUGGCGGGGUCAGUGUGUGUGUGUGUGACAGUUCUGUACGCCCCCCCCCAACCCCACCGACACUAAAACAACACACUUUGCCUCCUACUCUUC